UGGCGCUGCUGGCCGGGUUGCCGCGGCGGCGCGGGAUCGUCGAUGCCGCCUGGGUCGCCGUGCCGGUCGUCGCGGCGGUGG
rnacentral:tRNA from 1 species